CUUUUCAACCUACACCAUAUCCACCAUUUCAUUCCGUCUUCGUCCUCUCUCUUCCAGGAUUAUAUCUUCCCCUCCGUCUUCUUCCUCUCCAUCUUCUAGAACAUCCUACUCUGUCGUUCAAACCCAUUUCCACAUUUCCCGUUCUCGCUUGUCUUUCUCGUGCAUAAACGCUCUCUGUCUCCCCGAACAAUUUCGCUCUCUCUCCAUUCGCUCAGCUUGUUUCUUCAUUAGGUCUCUCAUCGAAAAAAUUGAAACUACAAUAACAUCCUAGGUUCUCUACACUCGCAGCAGCAGUUAGUUGCAUAUGGAAAGCAGAGCUCAAAAUCCUUAAAAACUGAAGAGAGUCAAUGCAUUAUAAGAAGUUUAAACCUAUAACAACAGUUAUUAUUUCAUGGCAAUGGAAAUACUAAAAAAAAUACCUGAUGACACCCGAAGAAAGCUUUAGCUUUCAGCCAAGGGAUACUAUCCACAAGCUGGUUAUGUCCUGGAAUUCUUGCCUGUUCCACCAAACUGUCUGUCUCUGCCUGACAUUUCUGAUGGGAUGAGCAUUAUGUCAUCAGGGUAACUUGAAGGUUAAGUGGUUUUGGAAUUUAAAUCACAUUGGAGCUGAGAAGAUUCAUGUUUUGAGACGUGUAAUAUGAUUUAAGAUCAGUUAGUUACCAAUUCUUUUUAAUAUUAUACUUUGCUUGAUUUUCGAUUGUAUAUGAAAUGAUUAUUUUUAAAAAUGCUGUUAAACUACAUAUUUUUUACUGUUUCACACUGCCAUAUAAACACGUGUUCAAAGUUAAUUA